CUAUAGUGGUUAGAAGAUCACUUUCAAUUUCAAUCCAACUCAUUCUAUGUUGGUGGAGACUCAUAUUCUGGUAUUACCGUUCCAAUGGUUGCUCAAGCAAUAUCAUAUGGGAUUGAUGCAAGAUUUAAGCCACAUGUUAAUCUUAAGGGUUACAUAAUUGGCAAUGGAAACACAUUUGCAGUUGACAUCCGCGAUUAUACUUACCGAACGGCUCGCGGAUUAGGUCGUAUUUCAGAAGAAGAGUAUA